UGCGUAGGCGGCUUUUUAAGUUUGGUGUGAAAUCUCCCGGCUCAACUGGGAGGGUGCGCCGAAUACUGAGAGGCUAGAGUGUGGGAGAGGAAAGUGGAAUUCCUGGUGUAGCGGUGAAAUGCGUAGAUAUCAGGAGGAACACCGGUGGUGUAAACGGCUUUCUGGACCAUAACUGACGCUGAGGCACGAAAGCGUGGGUAGCAAACAGGAUUAGAUACCCUGGUAGUCCACGCCCUAAACGAUGCAUAUUUGGUGUGGGCCAUUCAUUUGGUCUGUGCCGGAGCUAACGCGUUAAAUAUGCCGCCUGGGGAGUACAGUCGCAAGGCUGAG
rnacentral:rRNA from 1 species